UAAGUAAUGGAUUAUGUCACAAAUAUCG
rnacentral:sRNA from 1 species